ensembl:snoRNA
UUCCUCUGCCUAAGGUUAACACAGUGCCUUAAGAGGCUAACACAGAAGGGCAAAGUAAGUCUCCAUAAAACCCAAAGACUCUAUGAACCCCUCUCUGGAUCCUGUCUGGAGUCACAGCU